rnacentral:rRNA from 1 species
AUUGAACGCUGGCGGCAGGCCUAACACAUGCAAGUCGAACGAGUGGCGGACGGGUGAGUCAUUUCUUGGACACUGCCUGAUGGAGGGGGCUAACUACUGGAAACGGUAGCUAAUACCGCAUACCACCAUUUCUGCCCAGAUGGGAUUCGCUUGUUGGUGGGGUAACGGCUCACCAAGGCGACGAUCCCUAGCUGGUCUGAGAGGAUGACCAGCCACACUGGAACGGAGACACGGUCCAGACUCCUACGGGAGGCAGCAGUGGGGAAUAUUGGACAAUGGGCGCAAGUCUGAGGAAGCCAUGCCGCGUGUAUGAAGAAGGCCUUCGGGUUGUAAAGUACUUUCAGCGGGGAGGCGUUACCCGCAGAAGAAGCACCGGCUAACUCCGUGCCAGCAGCCGCGGUAAUUC